ensembl:lncRNA
UUUAUGUGUCGGUGAAUUCAUACAGCGCACACUCUACAUUUGCACGGUUUAGUAGUUUAUUAUGUUCAUGCACCACAGGUUUAGGGUUGAGGUUAAGGGUUUUUCUUUCUAAAAAUCGCACUGUACACAACAAAAUCACCACCUCAUAAAAUAGUUAUGCUUUCUCAUGAGAUUGGGUUGCUUUGCCCCUGGCGAACCCCUAGUUAUUUUAGGAAUUAUCAGGGAAGAAGUGGUUUAGAAAUAUAUGUGCUUUGAUUAUGUGUAAAUGUGAUUUUUGAGGGCAAUAUUUUGAUUAUAUUAAAAUUUUAUUUUAAAUUAUCUUGACCAUCUCCCAAUCUCCCCUAAAAAUAAAUAAUAAUAAUAAUAAUAAAAAAAUCAAUUAAAUGCGUUCCUUGUGGAUCAUCUCUGUCAUUGGAGGGGAUUUGCCUGGAGAAACAUUAUUAAGUAGCACAUUGGACUUUUAAUUAAAAAAAAAAAAUAAUAAUAAUGUCUCAGUUUGUUGGUGAGCCAAACGAAUGCCAAAAAAGAGGUGAACUGGCUAUCCUUUAUAUUUACAUUAAGUAAUAAUUGACCAAAUGCUAUAGAGUUAGCGCACAAUCAAUGAGUAUUAGCCUUACGAAACUUUAUGCCUUUUUGAUAUUCCCUCACGCUCACUCUGUCAUCCCAUCUCUACAAUGGCUAUAGACUAUAAACGACCAUGUGCUGCGGGUGACAGAGAGGUGAACUGCUCAUUUGGGCUGGAACACGUGCAGCCUCCCUCUUCUUCAGCUACUCACGCGCUGUUCCUCAAAGAUGCCCUGAAAGACACCCGUCUCCCACGCUCGGUUCAGCCACCACACCGCGAUUUUCCCUCGCUGUCGUCUCCACCGAGCGAGCGCGCGUGGAGGGAGGGCUUGCCAACCGGGUGUCAUGGAAACUGAGCCGUGUGUAUUACGUCAUUAGUCUGAGUUGCGAGUCUUCUCUUUUCUUUGCCGCUCGCAAAUAAGGAGCAUCACGCACAUGCCUCACAACAGCAGUUGAGUAACGCUACAGGUGCUGUUGUGUCUGUCUAUCUUCUUUCUGCUGUUCUCUCUUUACUCUUCUGCUUUAAUUUAUUGUGCUGUUUUCCUAAGGCUUCUGUUGCCACUGUUGCUGACAACAUCAUUUCCUUUUUGGUAAUAUUUAUCCUUCUAAUUUUUGUUAAGUUUAGUCACAGCUAAUGUAACAAAACACACUGUGAUGAUUCCAGUAUUAAUAAAAGUU